UCCGAGUGGGGAGCUGCCAGUAUAAAUAGGUUGAUGCCCACGAGACAUGUUCACACCCAGCAGAGCUUCCCAAGCGAUUUUCUGAACGUUCACAGUUGUCCUCCAGACGGUCGAGUUGUCUCAUCAUGCGCCGCCUGCUGAUACUCGUGGCAAUGGUGCUCCUCAUCUCUGGCACCUGCAUGUCUGCUCCACAGCCACCGGACGUAGCAGGUGCCUUAGGGCCAUAUCCACAUGGCUUGCUCUCAGCUCAACUUAGGGUCUCCGCUAAGAAUCCUAAGGUCCUCGGUGUCCCCAGCAGUCGUGUCGACAUUGUGAACAAGAAAUUGUAAAUCCUUUGCUCGGGACCACUCAUCACAAAGCCAGUGUGAUCCCUACUACAGGAUCAGCAACUACUACAAAUCCAGCAACAAAUGCUUUCAGCAAGCCUGCUUGUCUCCCAUCUCCAUCCUGCUUGUCUUCACUAUCCUGCUACACGUGACCCGCUGACGUACCCUGUACUCAGUGUCAGUGAACAGAUACAACAGUGAACAUUCAGUAACCGCUGUGACAGCAAAUAUUAUCACAAUGUGGUGACAACACACCUUCACUGACAUGUGGCCAGCAGUAACACACAGCAGUAAGAACGAUGGCCAACAAACAAAUAA